AUUCAUUACCCUUUUCUAUUCCCCGUGCAGACAAAUCAAUCCUCCGUGUGCACCUUCACACAAAGCAGGCCCUAUUGACUUUCAUGACUGAAUCUUUCAUCUUUCCCCUGUUUGUUUGUUUGCCCGUCUGUGAGCAAGGUCUUUAUAUUGUGUAACAGAAAUACCUUGUGGAAUAGAGGUGAAACUUACAUGGGCUUUUGAAUCAGGGGCAUUUCACACAAACACUCCAUUAUCUUAUUUUUUAAAGGUGACGUUAGCAUUACUGAUUAUCUUAUUUAUUUAUUUAAAGGUGACGUUAGCAUUACUGAUUAUCUUUUUUUUUUUUUUUAAAGGUGACGUUAGCAUUACUGAUUAUCUUAUUUUUUUUUAAAGGUGACUGUAGCAUUACUGAUUAUCUUUUUUUUUUUUUUAAGGUGACGUUAGCAUUACUGAUUAUCUUAUUUAUUUAUUUAAAGGUGACGUUAGCAUUACUGAUUAUCUUAUUUUUUAAAAGGUGACGUUAGCAUUACUGAUUAUCUUAUUUAUUUAUUUAUUUAAAGGUGACGUUAGCAUUACUGAUUAUCUUAUUUAUUUAUUUAAAGGUGACGUUAGCAUUACUGAUUAUCUUAUUUAUUUAUUAUUUUAAAGGUGACGUUAGCAUUACUGAUUAUCUUAUUUAUUUAUUAUUUUAAAGGUGACGUUAGCAUUACUGAUUAUCUUAUUUUUUUUAAAGGUGACGUUAGCAUUACUGAUUAUCUUAUUUAUUUAUUUAAAGGUGACGUUAGCAUCACUGACGUCACCGUUGCUCCCGGGCCGAUAGUCUGAAAACAUUGUGCCGUCUGACGUUAAGACUAUAUAUUGACAAGCCCUGUAAUCCAUUUGGAAAUAUAAUGAAAUUGAACCCACACAUGUACUGACAUGCUGAUUAACUUCUUGUCUGGUCACAGUAUUCAUUGAAUGAGGCAUAUCUACACUGAACGAGGCAUAUAUCUACACUGAACGAGGCAUAUAUCUGCACUGUGAAUGAGGCAUAUAUCUACACUGAACGAGGCAUAUAUCUGCACUGUGAAUGAGGCAUAUAUCUACACUGUGAACGAGGCAUAUAUCUGCACUGUGAACGAGGCAUAUAUCUACACUGUGAAUGAGGCAUAUAUCUGCACUGUGAACGAGGCAUAUAUCUGCACUGUGUGUGUGAAAGGAUAUUGAGAUACAUGAUCUAAAUCACACAAGUUCAUCUCGCUGUGCAUCAUAUUUCCAACAGCUUUAUUGCACCUGAGGUCAUUGUGGUAAAUGUGUAUUUUUACUCCUAGUGUUGUUAUUAGGAUAUGUUCCUAAUGGUAACCUGUUCCCCAUAUAGUGUACCCUAUGGGCUCUGGUCUAAAGUAGUGCACUAUAUAGGGAAUAGGGUUCUAUAGAGCUCUGGUCUAAAGUAGUGCACUAUAUAGGGAAUAG
ensembl:lncRNA